AGAGGCAUGGUUCAAUAGGUAGAAUGUUUGACUAGUAAGUGAAAAGACUUGAGUUCAAACCUUAGUAUCAUUA
rnacentral:tRNA from 1 species